rnacentral:rRNA from 1 species
UACGUAGGGUGCAAGCGUUAAUCGGAAUACUGGGCGUAAAGCGUGCGCAGGCGGUGAUGUAAGACAGAUGUGAAAUCCCCCGGGCUCAACCUGGGAACUGCAUUUGUGACUGCAUCGCUGGAGUGCGGCAGAGGGGGAUGGAAUUCCGCGUGUAGCAGUGAAAUGCGUAGAUAUGCGAAGGAACACCGAUGGCGAAGGCAAUCC